rnacentral:lncRNA from 1 species
CCUCCCUGUAUAUAUUGUUUUUCUUGUUGCAAACAGGAUGUUUUCAAUAGUACUUUAUGACAAUGCCGACUCCUGCUUCUCUUGGUGUACGGCUUACUACCAUCCCUCUAUUUGGUGCAAUGCCUGCUUCCUCUGGUGAGAAGUCCUUUCCUCAUUCAAUGUUGCUCAUAUACACAUGUAAAGCGAGGCAGCUGGUGUUACUCAGAAGGUCAGUCACAUGCACAGUCACUCAGGAAUGGCAGUGCUUCCAGGAAACCUGACUGUGUCUGUCUGUCUGUCCAUCCCUCCCUCUCUCUCUGUCCCUUUCCUUCAGGUUUUCUGCCUCUAGUAGGCAGAAAGGGAUCUUGAAGAGACACCAUGUAGCUGGCAAAGGAGUAACAGGUCCGGGCAUUCUCCUGUAAGCCAAGGCCACGUGGAAAUAUAUAGAUUAAUAGAAAUGGGUUAAUAAUUAAGACAGAGGUAACCAAUAAGAAGGCCUAGCCAUUGGCCAACAGUUUUAUAAUUAAUAUAGCAUCUCUGUUUGUUCAUUUGGGACUGAAGCGGCAGGACCUGGUGGGACAAGAAACUCCAGCAACACAGUUAGCUUCUUCUCAUCAGUGCUCUCUCUUCUUCUAACUGGCCCCUUUUCUUACACAGAGUCUCUAGGACUCUCUUCAUGGACACAGGGACACUGUCAGUUUCCCACUUUGCUUGGACUGAUGGCCCUGCUUUACAAAAAGAACAUAAGUAGGAGCAGUGACCUCUGGUUUUGGUUUUUAAUUUCCUCUGUGGAGACCCUGUCACAUGCGAAAUAGAGUGGAUGCAAGUGGUCCCCAGUUUUAUGAGUCUACCACGUAACAGUGGAGACUUGGGCAGGAAAUAAGUCCUUCACCUUUUUGCUGCACUUUUUUUGAGGGGGGUUGAAUUCAUCACCUACAACACAGAUGUGGUAAGAGGGAGAUACUGUAGGCCUUGACUGAUAAGAGCCCUGCCUUCCCAGGCAGGUGGAAGCUUCUGUCACAACAACAUAGGAUGGACAAGGUUGGGGGUGUAGGGAGCAGCUUGUGGUUUAGAUGCUGUAAGUUCCCUCUCUUGCUGAGAUUUAGUAGAUUUCUUAAAUAAAUGAGCAUUUGCUCUGUACCCUUAGGAAACAUUCCAGAGACGUU